rnacentral:rRNA from 1 species
UUGGUCUCGAUGGCCUCGUCGUUCAAUUCCAAAUCGCGUACAGAGCGGCGGCCCCAACGCUGUCGGCGGCGGCGGCCCAGAUCCAUCCUCAAGCUGGGCGAAUUCAGAAAAUCUACGAUGGCUCCUGGCGAUCACGUCGCCGGCGGUGCUGUUUGAGGCAGAUCAAAUCAGAUCUCCUCUGCUACUAAGCUCAUCUCGCAGUGUGCUCGUCGCAGGCUCGCAACCUCUCAUCUGAAUCUCCGGUAGCGGUCGGUUCGUCGCCUCCUCUCUCUCUCUCACGCACCAGGAUCAGCUCGUGUCCUCCUCCCCCUCGUCAGCAGCAAGCCGGUGGUGAGCUCCUCGGCUCCUUCCCAACCGCCCCAUGCGACGUGGUGCGAACCUACAAAUCCUCGAUACGGUUGUUCAUUUUCCUGGAUCCAGUAAUGGAGGGCGGAAGCGUGACAUCGCCUUUAGGAGUGCCCAUGGUUGCAAUGACCACAGCAUGUGCGCCAGCACUAUCAGAGAUUAAUUCACCCAUGCUUCUCAUUGAUGAUUUCAGUACUCCAAAAAAGAAAGAAUCAUUCUCUCAAGAGCUAGGUAGAUUGAACUGAUCAAGUGUAUAAGAGUUCAUGGAGGUUAAAAACUCUCGUAUAGAAGCUGGAAUGCCAGCGGAUGAAGCUCGAUCAACAGGAAGCACUAAAACAGGACGCAAAAUGAUACUCAUAGAUCUUUUCUGUCAUGUACUAUCAAGAUGCUUGUUGGACGGUGAUAGUUUCAGUCAUUUACACUUGGGUCUGCUGGCCAUGUACUAAAAGUGUUCUAUGUAUACCUCAUGUGUUGUAUUCUCAUGUACUCAAAUACUCAAAAUGAUGUGGUGAUAAUUCCAGUCCUUAAUUUGCUCAUGCACUACUUCUAGUUUGACAUGUAUAUGUAGUUCUGCUUGUUCUGG